CAACUGAGCUAACAGCAAACACAUCAACUGACUGCUUGUCUCUGAGGUCUCUCCGGAUCUGUUGAAGUUUCAGGCAGAAGAGAAUAAAACUUCUCCACAUGGUCAGCUGUUUCUGGAUAUCAUCAGAUCAAGCACAAUCUACCCUGUAAGCUAAAUGGACUGUGUGAGUCGUUUAACAGCAGAUGUUAAAGAACGGAA